rnacentral:tRNA from 1 species
GUGCGGCUGGUGGACGGCGCCAGCGGCGCGGUGGCGCCGCGCAUCGGGCCGCAGGGCGUUGAGCAACUGGCGUUGGACGCGCUGACGGUGCCC